rnacentral:tRNA from 1 species
GGGUGAUUAGCUCAGAUGGUAGAGCAGCUGACUCUUAAUCAGCGGGUCGCAGGUUCGAUUCCUGCAUCACCCACCA